AUUGAACGCUGGCGGCAGGCCUAAUACAUGCAAGUCGAGCGGAGCGGCGGACGGACGAGUAAUGCCUAGGAAGCUGCCUGGCAUUUGGGGAUAACGUCCGGAAACGGGCCCGAAUACCGCAUACUAUCAGAUGAGCCUAGGUCGGAUGAGCUCGUUGGUGGGGUAAAGGCCUAUCAAGGCGACGAUCCGUAACUGGUCUGAGAGGAUGAUCAGUCACACUGGAACUGAGACACGGUCCAGACUCCUACGGGAGGCAGCAGUGGGGAAUAUUGCACAAUGGGCGCAAGCCUGAUGCAGCCAUGCCGCGUGUAUGAAGAAGGCCUUCGGGUUGUAAAGUACUUUCAGCGGGGAGGCGUUACCCGAAGAAGAAGCACCGGCUAACUCCGUGCCAGCAGCCGCGGUAAUAC
rnacentral:rRNA from 1 species